rnacentral:rRNA from 1 species
UGGGGAAUUUUGGACAAUGGGGGAAACCCUGAUCCAGCCAUCCCGCGUGUGCGAUGAAGGCCUUCGGGUUGUAAAGCACUUUUGGCAGGAAAGAAACGUCAUGGGUUAAUACCCCGUGAAACUGACGGUACCUGCAGAAUAAGCACCGGCUAACUACGUGCCAGCAGCCGCGGUAAUACGUAGGGUGCAAGCGUUAAUCGGAAUUACUGGGCGUAAAGCGUGCGCAGGCGGUUCGGAAAGAAAGAUGUGAAAUCCCAGGGCUCAACUUUGGAACUGCAUUUUUAACUACCGGGCUAGAGUGUGUCAGAGGGAGGUGGAAUUCCGCGUGUAGCAGUGAAAUGCGUAGAUAUGCGGAGGAACACCGAUGGCGAAGGCAGCCUCCUGGGAUAACACUGACGCUCAUGCGCGAAAGCGUGGGGAGCAAACAGG